rnacentral:rRNA from 1 species
AUUGAACGCUGGCGGCAGGCCUAACACAUGCAAGUCGAGCGGAUGAGGGUAGCUUGCUACCUGAUUCAGCGGCGGACGGGUGAGUAAUGCCUAGGAAUCUGCCCGAUAGUGGGGGACAACGUUUCGAAAGGAACGCUAAUACCGCAUACGUCCUACGGGAGAACGUGGGGGAUCUUCGGACCUCACGCUAUCGGAUGAGCCUAGGUCGGAUUAGCUAGUUGGUGAGGUAAUGGCUCACCAAGGCUACGAUCCGUAACUGGUCUGAGAGGAUGAUCAGUCACACUGGAACUGAGACACGGUCCAGACUCCUACGGGAGGCAGCAGUGGGGAAUAUUGGACAAUGGGCGAAAGCCUGAUCCAGCCAUGCCGCGUGUGUGAAGAAGGUCUUCGGAUUGUAAAGCACUUUAAGUUGGGAGGAAGGGCUGUAGGCUAAUAUCCUGCAGUUUUGACGUUACCAACAGAAUAAGCACCGGCUAACUUCGUGCCAGCCGCCGCAGUAAAAC